CGCCCUUCAGAGGGGGACAACAGUUGGAAACGACUGCUAAUACCGCAUACGAUCUAAUCUCGGCAUCGAGGAUGGAUGAAAGGUGGCCUCUAUUUAUAAGCUAUCACUGAAGGAGGGGAUUGCGUCUGAUUAGCUAGUUGGAGGGGUAACGGCCCACCAAGGCAAUGAUCAGUAGCCGGUCUGAGAGGAUGAACGGCCACAUUGGGACUGAGACACGGCCCAG
rnacentral:rRNA from 1 species